rnacentral:rRNA from 1 species
UACGGAGGGGGCGAGCGUUAUUCGGAAUCAUUGGGCGUAAAGGGCGCGUAGGCGGCCCCGUAAGUCUUGGGUGAAAGCCCUCGGCUCAACCGAGGAAUUGCCUUGGAUACUGCGGGGCUCGAGGCUGGAAGAGGGCAGUGGAAUUCCCGGUGUAGCGGUGAAAUGCGCAGAUAUCAGGAGGAACACCUACGGCGAAGGCAGCUCGCUGGGACGGUACUGACGCUGGAGACGCGAAAGCGUGGGGAGCAAACAGG